rnacentral:rRNA from 1 species
UAAGGAAUAUUGGCCAAUGGGCGCAAGCCUGAACCAGCCAUGCCGCGUGCAGGAAGACGGCCCUAUGGGUUGUAAACUGCUUUUGUCAGGGAAUAAACCCCCGCUCGUGAGCGGGGCUGAAGGUACCUGAAGAAUAAGCAUCGGCUAACUCCGUGCCAGCAGCCGCGGUAAUACGGAGGAUGCAAGCGUUAUCCGGAUUCAUUGGGUUUAAAGGGUGCGCAGGCGGAUUGGUAAGUCAGGGGUGAAAUCCCACAGCUC